rnacentral:piRNA from 1 species
ACAAAGUAGAGGUAGUAGAACAA